rnacentral:tRNA from 1 species
GGUCCCGUAGCUCAGCUGGAUAGAGCAACAGAUUUCUAAUCUGUGGGUCACAGGUUCGAAUCCUGUCGGGAUCACCA